UACGAAGGGUGCAAGCGUUACUCGGAAUUACUGGGCGUAAAGCGUGCGUAGGUGGUUCGUUAAGUCUGAUGUGAAAGCCCUGGGCUCAACCUGAGAAUGGCAUUGGAUACUGGCGAUCUAGAGUGCGGUAGAGGGCAGUGGAAUUCCCGGUGUAGCAGUGAAAUGCGUAGAGAUCGGGAGGAACAUCUGUGGCGAAGGCGACUGCCUGGACCAGCACUGACACUGAGGCACGAAAGCGUGGGGAGCAAACAGG
rnacentral:rRNA from 1 species